rnacentral:lncRNA from 1 species
AUUUCUUCCCAUAUCAAGGGUAUUCUUGGAAAUAAAAACGAGAGAUGGACAACAUGGUAAGUUUUCGUAGUCACGUGAUAUAUAUCUCUUGCUAACGAAGCCUAUUAUAAAUUUUAUUGUAUCUCCAAUUUUCCUCUUGUUAUUCCAUUGCAUCAAACUUGGAGAAAUCCAGUUUGUUCAUGGAUAUUGACUUCAAAUCUGAGAGUAGUGGGGGUCGGAUUAUCUCAGUUACAUUUUCAUGGCAAAAACAAGCAAAUAUGCUCAAAAACUCUUGCAAAUGCUUGUAAAAACUUCCUUUUUUCUUCUUCUUCUAAUCUUGAUUUCUCCGAUCUCAGCUCGCCGCCUUGAUUUUUCAGUGACAUUAGAGGGUUCAUCAGCAUCAAUUGACCGAAUCUUGCUGAAUUCUGCUCCAAGCAAGCAAUUCACCAUGAAGUUUCAUCCAAGAGAAACCACAAAUCAAGAUUUUGAGGCAGCUGCACAUGAAGUCCCUAGCGGUCCGAAUCCUGAGUCCAAUUGAUAACAAUGUCAUGUACAGUACGUUAGAUUGAACAGGAUUUCACUUUCCUAGUCUAGUCGAGUUCAGUUUCGUCCACAUACCAAGUAUUAUCUUGCCGUAGGAUGGUUUGGCUUUCGGCAUCCCAUAUCCCACUGUUUGUGGUCAUAAGCUACUAGUUUUUUCGUCAUUAUGCUCUCUUUUAAUGCUAUUUAUGUACAUUUAUAAGACUAUACACUACUUUUUCUUUGAUUUUAGUCAUCAUGUAAUCUCAUAUGAUAAUCCUUGUAUUGUCGUUGUGCACGGACUCUAUUAUGAUUUCUAACCACAUUUUCCAUAUGA